UACGGGGGGGAGCAAGCGUUGUUCGGAUUUACUGGGCGUAAAGGGCGCGUAGGCGGUCAGCACAAGUCAGUUGUGAAAUCUCCGGGCUUAACUCGGAAAGGUCAACUGAUACUGUGCGACUAGAGUGCGGAAGGGGCAACUGGAAUUCUUGGUGUAGCGGUGAAAUGCGUAGAUAUCAAGAGGAACACCUGCGGCGAAGGCGGGUUGCUGGGCCGACACUGACGCUGAGGCGCGAAAGCCAGGGGAGCGAACGGG
rnacentral:rRNA from 1 species